GCAAGUCGGACGGGAUCCGUCGGAGAGCUUGCUCGAAGACGGUGAGAGUGGCGCACGGGUGCGUAACGCGUGAGCAACCUACCUCUAUCAGGGGGAUAGCCUCUCGAAAGAGAGAUUAACACCGCAUAAUAUAUGUGACCGGCAUCGGUUGGAUAUUAAAUAUUUAUAGGAUAGAGAUGGGCUCGCGUGACAUUAGCUAGUUGGUAGGGUAACGGCUUACCAAGGCGACGAUGUCUAGGGGCUCUGAGAGGAGAAUCCCCCACACUGGUACUGAGACACGGACCAGACUCCUACGGGAGGCAGCAGUAAGGAAUAUUGGUCAAUGGGCGGAAGCCUGAACCAGCCAUGCCGCGUGCAGGAUGACUGCCCUAUGGGUUGUAAACUGCUUUUGUCCAGGAAUAAACCUUUCUACGUGUAGGGAGCUGAAUGUACUGGAAGAAUAAGGAUCGGCUAACUCCGUGCCAGCAGCCGCGGUAAUACGGAGGAUCCGAGCGUUAUCCGGAUUUAUUGGGUUUAAAGGGUGCGUAGGCGGCCUAUUAAGUCAGGGGUGAAAUACGGUGGCUCAACCAUCGCAGUGCCUUUGAUACUGAUGGGCUUGAAUCCAUUUGAAGUGGGCGGAAUAAGACAAGUAGCGGUGAAAUGCAUAGAUAUGUCUUAGAACUCCGAUUGCGAAGGCAGCUCACUAAGCUGGUAUUGACGCUGAUGCACGAAAGCGUGGGGAUCGAACAGGAUUAGAUACCCUGGUAGUCCACGCCCUAAACGAUGAUAACUCGAUGUUGGCGAUAGACAGCCAGCGUCCAAGCGAAAGCGUUAAGUUAUCCCCCUGGGGAGUACGCCCGCAAGGGUGAAACUCAAAGGAAUUGACGGGGGCCCGCACAAGCGGAGGAGCAUGUGGUUUAAUUUGAUGAUACGCGAGGAACCUUACCCGGGCUUGAAAGUUAGUGAAGAGUGCAGAGACGCCCUUGUCCUUCGGGACCCGAAACUAGGUGCUGCAUGGCUGUUGUCAGCUCGUGCCGUGAGGUGUUGGGUUAAGUCCCGCAACGAGCGCAACCCCUAUGUUUAGUUGCCAGCAUGUAAUGGUGGGGACUCUAAACAGACUGCCUGUGCAAACAGAGAGGAAGGUGGGGACGACGUCAAGUCAUCAUGGCCCUUACGUCCGGGGCUACACACGUGCUACAAUGGAUGGUACAGCGGGCAGCUACAUAGCAAUAUGAUGCUAAUCUCUAAAAGCCAUUCACAGUUCGGAUUGGGGUCUGCAACUCGACCCCAUGAAGUUGGAUUCGCUAGU
rnacentral:rRNA from 1 species